CUGAUUUGUGGUAACUCCAAAGUUUUGAAUGCCUCCCUAGCUGUAGCAGCAAUACUGGUUUCUAUCAAGGGAAGGUACUUGUAAAACCAUGUCUGGGGUUGGGGGAUGGAAGGAAGGCAGCAGGUACAGGACAGCUACUGCCUCCCAUACUCCAUCUUCCUCUCAGGGUAACCCCUGGCACGGCAACAGUGAAAUGGAGAAAGGUGAAAAUGCCCAGAAGCUGGCAGCUUCUGAAGAGAAACAAAGAGGCCAAGCAUCAGCCCACCCACAGCAGCAACAUCGGUAAGAAAAUAAAACAACAAAACACUCAUCAAGAUUAAUAUGAUCCAUAAAGGCAGAAGAUGAUUUUUCUUUUUUGAAGAGCUGUAACUGGGUGUUGGCCCAUAUGUCUUGGUAACUCCAAAUGAAACCAGAAGAAAACAGUUGCAACAAAUUGCUAAGAAAGAGCUUGAUGACCUGGAGCAAUGGAAGAAAGAACACAGGCCAGGGCCAAUUAUGUUGGUGCCACAGAGACUGGGUAAGACAUGUAAAUCAGCAAUUGAGAAAUGCAGAAUUUAAUUUUCCAAGACAUGAGACAUUUUUCACUUUUUCUCACUACUUAUUAUAAAGAAAUUCAGUGUCAAUAAAGGCUGACAUGAGCCCA
rnacentral:lncRNA from 1 species